UUCCGGUUGAUCCCGCCAGAGGCUACUGCUAUCGGGGUCCGACUAAGCCAUGCGAGUUGAGAGGGGUAAGCCCUCGGCAUAUUGCUCAGUAACACGCGGAUAACCUGCCCUUGGGUUUGGGAUAACCCCGGGAAACUGGGACUAAUACCGGAUAGAUCAAAGAAACUGGAAUGUUCUCUGAUCGAAAGCUCCGGCGCCCAAGGAUGGGUCUGCGGCCUAUCAGGUAGUAGUGGGUGUAACGUACCUACUAGCCUACGACGGGUAAGGGUUGUGAGAGCAAGAGCCCUGAGAUGGAUUCUGAGACAUGAAUCCAGGCCCUACGGGGUGCAGCAGGCGCGAAAACUUUACACUGCGGGAAACCGCGAUAAGGGGACCCCGAGUGCCAGCACCUAGUGCUGGCUGUCCAGCUGUUCAAAUAACAGUUGUUAGCAAGGGCCGGGCAAGACCGGUGCCAGCCGCCGCGGUAACACCGGCGGCCCGAGUGGUAGCCGUUAUUAUUGGGUUUAAAGGGUCCGUAGCCGGCCUAUUAAGUCUCUUGGGAAAUCUGGCGACUCAAUCGUCAGGCGUUCAAGAGAUACUGGUAGGCUUGGGACCGGGAGAGGUGGGAGGUACUCCAGGGGUAGGGGUGAAAUCUCGUAAUCCUUGGGGGACCACCGAUGGCGAAGGCAUCCCACCAGAACGGGUCCGACGGUGAGGGACGAAAGCUGGGGGCACGAACCGGAUUAGAUACCCGGGUAGUCCCAGCCGUAAACGAUGCUCGCUAGGUGUCAGGUGCGGUGCGACCGCAUCUGGUGCCGCAGUGAAAACUUGAAGCGAGUCACCUGGGAAGUACGGUCGCAAGGCUGAAACUUAAAGGAAUUGGCGGGGGAGCACUACAACGGGUGGAGCCUGCGGUUCAAUUGGAGUCAACGCCGG
rnacentral:rRNA from 1 species